AUGGCAAGGACCUGGUGUCUGUGUUCACUAACUAUUCCAUUCUUGCUGCUUGCAUAGCCCCAUGUCACAGAGGUUGGAUGCAGAGCCUGGCCCACUACAGCCUUGAGAGUAUCUUAGUCCCUCCCAGGGGACUGUGAAGCAAGCUCAGCUAAACCCUGUCCUUCUCUGACUUCUGACCUACAAAAGCAGUGGGACAACAAAAGCUUACAUGAAACGACUAAAUUUAGGAUAAAUUUAUACAAAGCCAUAGACAAUUAGCAUGCAUGCAUGUCCUGAAUAGCUAUUUCCUUGAGAUGUGAAUCUUCAACUUAUUUUCUGCCAUAAAUACAGCAGUUUAAACGAAAGCUUUAUAUUUUAAAUAUAUAUGGAAGAAGUAUACUAUGUGUGUAUAAAAUUAUGGAAGAUUAAAGGCAACUAAAAUGUAUAAGAGAACGAUACUGUUACAGAAAUAGGAGGUUAGUGUACAAGGCUUAAAGACCAUCUCACAUACUACUAGACAUUCCUUUGUAGUGUGCUUUACUAACAUCUGUAGCUUUACUUGAGGAAUCAUCAGCUCAUUGAAAGGGCAUGAACUUUCUAUUCACCUUGUGUCACCUUUGCAAUGUUUGCAGAGUUCCACGCAUGCUCUGAGGAACCACUUCUAUGUUUGUACGAGAUGAAACACAGCCUCAUUUUCUAAUCAUUUCCCAAAAGUCAGUGGACCAGGACAUCAGCUGAGAGCUAGUGUCUUCUGUACAUAACAAGCAAGCUGCACCUAUGAAAUCUCCGCAAUAUGGCUGCCUAAGGAAGACCACGUGCAGUCACACCAGUUGACCUGCCAUUGCUUAAAGGGUAUAUCUCACAAGGCACCAUGGCUGGCUAAAGAGUGACAGGAGAUUGAUGGCUGCAGAAAGAGGACGACUCUAGUGAGGAAGAAGGUGAGAUGACUCUCCCAGGACAUGUGACAUGGAUUGCGGUUGGGAUGCAUGGUUGGAAUGCCUUUCUGAUUAAGCACUGUAAACCCACAGGCCUAUGUAGUAAUACUACAGCAUAGGAGAUUCAUGCCCCCUAACCACCACCCUUAAACACACAGCUACAUUCUGAGAUGCUAUCUUCUCAAAUAAUAUAAAAUAAUGAAGAGAGCCCAAAAAGUACCCUUCUGCAGCUCCUUUGUCCCACUGUCCUUAGCAGUACAAUGUUUAGAGAACAGCAGACAGCAAAGUAGGAUUAAUGUGUCUUCUGUCUCAUCCAUAUUAGCUGAUAAGCUCCCUCCACCUUCUAAAUGACUGUUCAGUAUUUUCCCA